GGCCUACGGGGGGCAGCAGUAGGGAAUAUUGCUCAAUGGGGGAAACCCUGAAGCAGCAACGCCGCGUGGAGGAUGAAGGUUUUCGGAUUGUAAACUAUUGUCGUUAGGGAAGAGAAAGGACAGUACCUAAGGAGGAAGCUCCGGCUAACUACGUGCCAGCAGCCGCGGUAAUACGUAGGGAGCAAGCGUUAUCCGGAUUUAUUGGGUGUAGAGGGUGCGUAGACGGGAAAUUAAGUUAGUUGUGAAAUCCCUCGGCUCAACUGAGGAACUGCAACUAAAACUGGUUUUCUUGAGUGUUGGAGAGG
rnacentral:rRNA from 1 species